GACGAACGCUGGCGGCGUGCUUAACACAUGCAAGUCGAACGAGACUUCGGUCUAGUGGCGAACGGGUGAGUAACACGUGAGGAACCUGCCCCGAAGACCGGGAUAACAGCGGGAAACCGC
rnacentral:rRNA from 1 species